rnacentral:rRNA from 1 species
AGCGAACGCUGGCGGCAGGCUUAACACAUGCAAGUCGAGCGGGCGUAGCAAUACGUCAGCGGCAGACGGGUGAGUAACGCGUGGGAACGUACCUUUUGGUUCGGAACAACCCAGGGAAACUUGGGCUAAUACCGGAUAAGCCCUUACGGGGAAAGAUUUAUCGCCGAAAGAUCGGCCCGCGUCUGAUUAGCUAGUUGGUGAGGUAACGGCUCACCAAGGCGACGAUCAGUAGCUGGUCNGAGAGGAUGAUCA